UACGUAGGGUGCGAGCGUUGUCCGGAAUUAUUGGGCGUAAAGAGCUCGUAGGCGGUGUGUCGCGUCGGCCGUGAAAGUCCGGGGCUCAACCCCGGAUCUGCGGUGGGUACGGGCAGACUAGAGUGAUGUAGGGGAGACUGGAAUUCCUGGUGUAGCGGUGAAAUGCGCAGAUAUCAGGAGGAACACCGAUGGCGAAGGCAGGUCUCUGGGCAUUAACUGACGCUGAGGAGCGAAAGCAUGGGGAGCGAACAGG
rnacentral:rRNA from 1 species